UGUAGCUAUUUAUCUGAUGUUCAAAAAAAAGUAGCUAUUUAUCUUCUCAGCUGUCCUCCCUCAUCCUCGUCUCUCCCCACCACAUAUUCUUCAGCAUAUCCUCGAUUCCCUUCCUAUCUUCUCUGCCCAGUGGUAGCGGUGCAAGCUCGAUCCAGACCCCUUCUCCUCCUUCGGACCGAGGCCACACACACCACUGAGCUCCUCCUCCUCCUCCCCCUUCCUCCGCACGCGCUCAACGCCAGGUCUAAUCAGGGAGCAACACAGGGCAGCACCUCUCGUUCUUCCUCCCUUCAUCCACUGUCUCUCAGUUCUUUCUUUUUCCCUUGGUCAGGUCAUGCAGGGAGCGCACACGCAGGGGCCUUAGUGGCUGUUGUCGCCGCCACCACACCCGGGCGUUGUCGCGCCACCGCCACCUCCUCCUCCCUCCUAGUUCGUCGGCCGUUGGUGCCCGCCCCCCUGCAUCUGCCACCGCCACCCCCUCUCUGGCUCACCUCCAUGCGUGAGGGCAACGAUGGUAGCGCCCGACGUCCACCGUCCCAGGCCCGUCCCUCGCCGACGGGAGAGUGCCGGUCUGCGGAUUGUAACCUCCUAUUACCGAGGAACUUUUUUAUUCCUUGAAUCACUCUUCCCACUUGCUGGAUUAAUUUCUUUGCUCUAUUCUCUUCUCUGCUUAUUGACUUGUGAUGCAGCAAGGCUGCCGAUGUAUGAAAAUUGACAUAUUAGGUGUAAAAGAGCGAGGUGAGACUAAGGCGGGGCGGUGCAGGAGGCGGCCGGCGGAGCGGGACAGGAGGCCACCGGUGGAGUGCGGCGAGAUAGGAGGCUGCCGGCGGAGCGAGGCGAGGCAGGGCAGGAGGCAGCCGCUGGAGUGUAAAAGAGCAAGGUGAGACUGAGGCGGGGCGGUGCAGGAGGCGGCCGGCGGAGCGGGACAGGAGGCUGCCGGUGGAGCGCGACGAGAUAGGAGGCUGUCGGCGGAGCGAGGCAAGGCAGGGCAGGAGGCGGCCGGCGAAGCACGGUGAGUCGGGGCGACGCAGGAGGCGCCUUCCGGAGCGCGGCGAGGCGGGACGGGAUAGGAGGCGGAUGGCGGAGCAGGAGGCGGGGGAGCAGGAGGCGGGGCAGAGCGCGGAGAGGCAGAGGCGCGACUGUUUUUUCCUUCGUACCGGUUCGGGCUGACUUAUCACGAGGACUGCGGGUUGAAUAACUACAACAGCAGGGACUUUUUUGCGAAAACGCCGAUGACGUACAACAGAAACCUAAUUUGCUUUAUUAUUAGGUAAAGAUUUUUGUGGAUAGUAAUAUCGAAAUAAUAGGUUAGGAAUUAGGUCUGCUCCCACAAGCCAACCUGGCGCCUCCCCCUAGGGCGCGCCCCCCCGGGCUUGUGGGGCCCACCGCCCACUUCUGGCUCCCUCUUGAAGCUUCUAGUGUUACAUAUACUCCAUAAAAAAUCAUCGUAAGUUUUCAUCGUGUUUGGACUUCUGUAGAUGUGGAUCUUCUGCGAAAUCAAAACUUGCAAAAAAACAGGAAUUGACACCAGACACUAAACUAAUAGUUUAGUCCAAAAAAAUUAUAUAAAAUAACAUAUAAAGCAUACAAAAAAUGAUAAUAUAAUAGCACGAAACAAUCAGAAAUUAUGGAUGCGUUGGAGACGUAUCGAUGAGCCACAAAUGUCAUGCACAAUAUGACCGCGCACCUAACCCACAAACAUCCGUGAAACCACAAGUGUCGGCUCUGAUACCAACUUGUAAUGCCCCAAAAACACCCGCCGGUUACUGGUUGUUACUCCUGGCGGGAUCUAGACUAGCCUCACAGAGCAACACUAGUCUUUCUGCGCACUUUGUCCUCACUUGUGCGCAUCUGGGACCAACUUCUAUGUCGGUCAUCUAUCCUGAAAUUGCUCUAAGCUGAGCACGCUUAACUUUGGAGUUCUUUUGAAUGGGCUCCCAAAAGAGAAAUAAUUUCUUGUUGAUAUGAGUAGUCUAUCAUUCGUAUUAAGCCAGGCUCUCACACUGGUAGGCGGCGGUGCACGCCCUCUCUCUCAAGCAAAAAGGAAGAUCAAGGAACAUCCACCUGUCGGUGCCCUAGAAGCCGCGUCUGCCUUAUGCCGCUCCUGCUCCUUGAACCACGCUAUAGGGAAACCCCAGGCUCACACUCUCGCACGUUUAGAUCCCGUUGCAGCUUCAUGUGCAACUCUGCCUGAUAGCGGAGGUCAGCCUCAACACCUGUCGCUGGAUCUAACGGGCGCUCGCAUUGGGGUUCUGAUAUGUCUUCAACGUAUCUAUUUUUUUGAUUGUUCCAUGUUAUUAUAGUAUCAAUCUUGGAUUUUUUUGUGCAAUUAUAUGCUAUCUUAUAUUAUUUUUUGGGACUAACCUAUUAACUUAGUGCUUUGUGCCAGUUGUUAUUUUUUUGCCUGUUUUUGGUUGUCCAGAAAAUCAAUACCAAAUGGAGUCCAAAUGCUACAAAAAGAAAAUAGAAGAUUGACUUUGGAACAUGUUAUGCAAAAGAAAAUCAGUCCAAACAGAGUCCAAAUGGUACAAAAAGAAGAUUGACUUUGGAUUCCAAAAAGAAAAUAAGUCCAAACGGAGUCCAAAUGCUACAAAAGGAAAACAGAGUCCAAAUAUAUAAACACUUUUGCUCUUCUUUUGGACUCUAAAUUGCAUGAUUUGAAUGAAAUUAACCCGGACUGACACUGUUUUCAGCAGAACUACCAUGGUGUUAUUUUUGUGCAGAAAUAGAAGUUCUCGAAAUUGGAUGGGACUUUUUGGAGAUUUAUUUUGGAAUAAAAGAAAAAUACUGGAGCAAAGACCCACCGGAGGGGGGGGGGGUGGCUGCUGCCCACUAGGCACCAGGGUGCGCCUCCCCCCUCUAGCGCGCCCUAGUGGGCAGUGGGGCCCACGAGGCUCCGCUGACCCUAACCUGUAUAUUAUAAAUUCCUAUUUCCCGAGGAAAAAAUCAGAUAGGAAGUUUCGUUGCGUUUUACAAUAGGGAGCUGCCGCCACCUCCAUUUCUUCAUCGGGAGGCCAGAUCUGGAGUUCGUUCGGGUCUCUGGAGAGGGAGAUCUUCCAUCUUCUUCAUCAUCAACCAUCCUCCAUCACCAAUUUCAUGAUGCUCACCGCCGGGAGUGAGUAAUUCCUUCGUAGGCUUGCUGGACGGUGAUGGGUGGGAUGAGAUUCAUCAUGUAAUCGAGUUAGUUUUGUUAGGAAACAUGCCCGUGCGUUGCUACGGGGUUGAGGGAAAAUUGUGGGAGAGAGAGGGGUGCAUGGACGACUUCUGGCGAGUGCAUUUUUUUCUCAACUUUGAAGCACAUUUUGACAGAGUUUAGUAACUAAUUCAAAGGAUAGUAAGAUGCACAUUGUUUUUUGUCAGACUUCAAUAUGACGUUGUAGGUUAGACCAUCAAUAUAUAUUGGCCAUGCAUAUCUCACGUGUAAAUUAACCAGCAUGCUGAUAAUGAAAAAAUCAUACACGCAACACUUAUGUUGAGUUACUUGUAUUACACAAUAAAAAUGUUGGAUACUUCGUCUAGUGUCUAAGAAUAUCGUGUGUGUGCUAACCGUGAAGUCCUUGUCGUAUAGAUGUAAUAACUUCCUGCUGGCGAUAUAUGCAGGAUUCUCCCUCGCAAUUGAGUCUCUUUACUUAGUGAGUUGAGCCUCAAUUCACGGUUAAUUGUAAUUCACUUUAUUCUUGUUUUCUAUUGUUCUAGUUGUAUAUAUGCGUAUUUUUGCCUUUCCCAUGCGUUUUUUUUUAUCUUACGUGUUUGCUCCAUGUUUGCAUAUUUCUUCUUCCCUCGUGUAUAUUUUUUUGCAAAUGGGUCGAAUCUUUGAUUCUUUUAUUUGCUUGAUAGGCUUCAUGAAAUUUUUGUAGUUUUUUUCUAUUUUUCUUCAUUGGUCAUCCAUACAUACCACUCUCUAUCUUUUUUUCCUUCUUUGUUACAUGAAAUCCAUGAUUCGAGAUUGCCGUCCAAAUUGCUUGCAUGCAUGAUAGUUUUGUAUACCAUAUGAAGUUGUUAUUGAUUAACUAACGAAUAUAAAAUAUGCAUCAUAAAUAGAGCAUAUGUAGGUACUAAUAAAUAAUCUAAUCACGCUGGACAUAAGCACCAGAAUGUAUGUGUUGUUUGCAUGCUAGAGUAUCAUGUUUUUUCUUGAAACAAUUUAGAAAGCAGGCAAAUUAACCAUUGCAGUGCUAUCAAACAAUAAAAAUCUCGUACAUGCAACACUUCCAAAGUAAUUUUAUCUGGAUGAAAUUGUUCUUGUUUCUCCAUGGCAUCAAUGUUCGGGUUAAAAGGAUGUAUAAGAUGGUUGCAUCGUUUCUUCGUACCACCUUCAACAUAACCAUCUUCAGGGACAUCUGUAAAAAACAUCUUCAGAGAUGUCAAGCAUGACAUCUUCUUACUGAUGGAGAACAACAAUUUUAUUGAGAGCAA